GCAUAUCAAUAAGCGGAGGAAAAGAAACCAACAGGGAUUGCCCUAGUAACGGCGAGUGAAGCGGCAACAGCUCAAAUUUGAAAUCUGGCCUCGGCCCGAGUUGUAAUUUGCAGAGGAAGCUUUAGGCGCGGCACCUUCUGAGUCCCCUGGAACGGGGCGCCAUAGAGGGUGAGAGCCCCGUAUAGUUGGAUGCCUAGCCUGUGUAAAGCUCCUUCGACGAGUCGAGUAGUUUGGGAAUGCUGCUCAAAAUGGGAGGUAAAUUUCUUCUAAAGCUAAAUACCGGCCAGAGACCGAUAGCGCACAAGUAGAGUGAUCGAAAGAUGAAAAGCACUUUGAAAAGAGGGUUAAAUAGCACGUGAAAUUGUUGAAAGGGAAGCGCUUGUGACCAGACUUGCGCCGGGCUGAUCAUCCGGUGUUCUCACCGGUGCACUCGGCCCGGCUCAGGCCAGCAUCGGUUCUCGCGGGGGGAUAAAGGCCCUGGGAACGUAGCUCCUCCGGGAGUGUUAUAGCCCAGGGCGUAAUGCCCUCGCGGGGACCGAGGUUCGCGCAUCUGCAAGGAUG
rnacentral:rRNA from 1 species